AAUCUAAAACAACUAAAAUAAAAAUGAAAACAAGAAAACUAAUACAAAAUAUUAAAUAAAAAAAAAUAUAAUAGUGAAUAACAAUUAUAAUGCUGAAAUAUCACUGGUUUUCUGAUGUGGCUGAUACAUAUACAUAAAUAAUUCCACUUAAUUACAGCUAAUGGGAUUUCACAGCAAAGGCUUUUCAGAAAUUUAAUGAAUGCUUAUUUUGCAUGCUGAUUACUCAAUUUUUAAAAAGACAAAUAAAUAUGAUAAAUGGUCAAGUGCAGCCUGGCAGAUAUAUCUGUUCAUCACUAAUAAAGCACUAAAUUGUGAUUAUGAUAGACAUCUCUCUCCAGAGGCGGCAGUCCAUGUGUCUAGUAUGCUCUCCAAAGGCAAGUUUGAUGAAUUGAGAAGUGUGAUGUCGAAAGAGGUUAGCUGAUUACAGUAAAUUACUGGUUUGGCAAACAUUUUAAGUCAUAUAAGACCUAUAAAACAUUUAUUUAUUUUUUUCCUGACAGUGUCAGAAAGCAGUGUAAAACUCUGUCAGAGGCCCAACAAAGACAUCUUGCGAUUUCCCUCGAUAACAUUAUAUUUCUGCUGCCCGAGGAUGUGUCUGUAUUCUUUGAUCACAACAAUCCUGAUGGACCCGAGGACCCACAUCUUCAAGAUGGACAUAACUGAAGAUGGUCCUCAAAAGAAGAUCAUCACAGCUGUGUACCAGUACUCGCCAGGUGGAGUUUGAUGCAGCAGGUCACCUACACCUGAGGAGAAACAAGAAAAACUACAAAUGGAUGAAUUUCUCGAAACCAGUCAAGAACACACCCCAAAAAAUAUGCUUAACUGUAAUUAAAA